UACGUAGGGAGCAAGCGUUAUCCGGAUUUACUGGGUGUAAAGGGCGUGUAGGCGGGCUUGCAAGUUGGAAGUGAAAUCCGGGGGCUUAACCCCCGAACUGCUUUCAAAACUGCGGGUCUUGAGUGAUGGAGAGGCAGGCGGAAUUCCCAGUGUAGCGGUGAAAUGCGUAGAUAUUGGGAGGAACACCAGUGGCGAAGGCGGCCUGCUGGACAUUAACUGACGCUGAGGCGCGAAAGCGUGGGGAGCAAACAGG
rnacentral:rRNA from 1 species